GACGAACGCUGGCGGCGUGCUUAACACAUGCAAGUCGAACGGAAAGGCCCUGCUUUUGUGGGGUGCUCGAGUGGCGAACGGGUGAGUAACACGUGAGUAACCUGCCCUUGACCUUGGGAUAACUUCAGGAAACUGGGGCUAAUACCGGAUAGGAGCUCCUGCUGCAUGGUGGGGGUUGGAAAGUUUCGGCGGUUGGGGAUGGACUCGCGGCUUAUCAGCUUGUUGGUGGGGUAGUGGCUUACCAAGGCUUUGACGGGUAGCCGGCCUGAGAGGGUGACCGGCCACAUUGGGACUGAGAGACGGCCCAGACUCCUACGGGAGGCAGCAGUGGGGAAUAUUGCACAAUGGGCGGAAGCCUGAUGCAGAAACGCCGCGUGCGGGAAGACGGCCUUCGGGUUGGAAACCGCUUUCGACUGUGACGAAGCGUGAGUGACGGUAAUGGGUAAAGAAGCACCGGCUAACUACGUG
rnacentral:rRNA from 1 species